GACGAACGCUGGCGGCGUGCCUAAUACAUGCAAGUCGAACGCAUUUUCUUUCACCGUAGCUUGCUACACCGAAAGAAAAUGAGUGGCGAACGGGUGAGUAACACGUGGGUAACCUGCCCAUCAGCGGGGGAUAACACUUGGAAACAGGUGCUAAUACCGCAUAAUUCCAUUUACUGCAUGGUAGAUGGAUGAAAGGCGCUUUUGCGUCACUGAUGGAUGGACCCGCGGUGCAUUAGCUAGUUGGUGGGGUAACGGCCUACCAAGGCUGCGAUGCAUAGCCGACCUGAGAGGGUGAUCGGCCACACUGGGACUGAGACACGGCCCAGACUCCUACGGGAGGCAGCAGUAGGGAAUCUUCGGCAAUGGACGCAAGUCUGACCGAGCAACGCCGCGUGAGUGAAGAAGGUUUUCGGAUCGUAAAACUCUGUUGUUAGAAAAGAACAAGGAUGAGAGUGGAAAGUUCAUCCCUUGACGGUAUCUAACCAGAAAGCCACGGCUAACUACGUGCCAGCAGCCGCGGUAA
rnacentral:rRNA from 1 species